rnacentral:rRNA from 1 species
CCUACGGGAGGCAGCAGUGAGGAAUAUUGGUCAAUGGGCGCGAGCCUGAACCAGCCAAGUAGCGUGAAGGAUGACUGCCCUACGGGUUGUAAACUUCUUUUGUCAGGGAGCAAUUGGCGCUACGUGUAGCGUUAUCGAGAGUACCUGAAGAAAAAGCAUCGGCUAACUCCGUGCCAGCAGCCGCGGUAAUACGGAGGAUGCGAGCGUUAUCCGGAUUUAUUGGGUUUAAAGGGUGCGUAGGCGGAAUGCCAAGUCAGCGGUAAAAUCGCGGGGCUCAACCUCGCUCCGCCGUUGAAACUGGCGUUCUUGAGUGGGCGAGAAGUAUGCGGAAUGCGUGGUGUAGCGGUGAAAUGCAUAGAUAUCACGCAGAACUCCGAUUGCGAAGGCAGCAUACCGGCGGCGAUCUGACGCUGAGGCACGAAAGCGUGGGUAUCGAACAGGAUUAGAUACCCGAGUAGUC